rnacentral:rRNA from 1 species
CCCGGGUCUUGUACACACCGCCCGUCACACCAUGGGAGCGGGAUGUACCAGAAGUAGGUAGGCUAACCGCGAGGGGGCCGCUUACCACGGUGCGUUUCGUGACUGGGGUGA